AGUACUUAUCAGCCUUUGGGCUAAGAUCAAGUAUAAUAUUUGUUUUUAUCGGUAUCAUAACUGAUAUGUUCUCUAUCUAUGGACAAUGUAUCAAAUGAAAUUUUUGGAGCAGGGAGAUAGAAUGGGAGCCUGCUCCAUCCACUCCAUCAACUUUGAAUUACAGUGCCUCUAAGAAGGGUACAACAAUU
ensembl:snRNA U2 U2 spliceosomal RNA